ACGGGAGGCAGCAGUGAGGAAUAUUGGUCAAUGGGCGGAAGCCUGAACCAGCCAAGUCGCGUGAAGGAUGAAGGUAUUAUGUAUUGUAAACUUCUUUAGUCGCAGAGAAAUAAGGGGAUCGUGAUCCCUGAUGCUAGUAUGCGAAGAAUAAGGAUCGGCUAACUCCGUGCCAGCAGCCGCGGUAAUACGGAGGAUCCGAGCGUUAUCCGGAUUUAUUGGGUUUAAAGGGUGCGCAGGCGGUCUUUUAAGUCAGUGGUAAAAUCGGGGGGCUCACCCCCAUCCCGCCAUUGAUACUGGAGGACUUGAUUGCGGUCGAGGUUGGCGGAAUUCGUCGUGUAGCGGUGAAAUGCAUAGAUAUGACGAAGAACACCGAUUGCGUAGGCAGCUGACCAGGCCGUAAAUGACGCUCAUGCACGAAAGUGCGGGGAUCGAACAGGAUUAGAUACCCUGGUA
rnacentral:rRNA from 1 species